UGGAGAAGCGUUACUUUGAUGGUCAAAACACAAUCAAGUUGUCACAUCUCGAAACCAAAGGCGGAAACGUUCCGGGGCGGAGGACGUCAUGAAUAUCGCAACCAAUGUACAUAGUAAGCGUAGUAAACACAAAACAUUACAUUACAUAGGAUUAUUACAUUUUUUUGAAAGUAAAGUGUUACAUGUGUUAUACAUGUAUAUCAUAUGAACAAAAGUAAAGACGAGUCUUCUAAACGCUCCGUCUUCUCCAAAAGAUGGCGGUGUACCUGUCUAAUGCGGACCUGAGAAUACAAGCAGUUUGAAAAUCAACAUAAAGUUGGUGAGUUCAUAAGCGGUUUAGUUUUGAAAAGAAUGAGUUUCCUUUUGUUUUCUGAAAAAGUUGUUAUCCAAGAAAAUCCCAUAUUUUCUUAUAAAAAUAGUUUAGUUAUCAUUCGUUACACAGUUCGAUUACGAGUUGUUAUGUUAUCCCAGGAAAAUCCCAUAUUUUCCUAAUAGUUUAGUUAUCCAUUCGUUACACCAUUCGUUUACGAGUUGUUAUGUUAUCCCAGGAAAAUCCCAUAUUUUCCUAAUAGUUUAGUUAGUUCUUAGUUCGAAUUUCGAUGUACUAUUAUCUACCAUACUUAUAGUAUUAGUUAGGUAUUCUAAUAUCUUAGUUAUCCUACACACGAAUGUUGAUUAUCUACUGUACUUAGUUGUAUUUUCGAAUAUUUGGAUACACUCAGAAAUGUACAUUAACUGUAUAUUCGAUGUUCUGGUGAUUUCCAAAAGCGUACAUUAGACGUAUCUCCAAAGCUCUGUCGACAUCCAAAGGCGUGUGUUUUCGAAACUCGGUCGAUGUCCAGAGGCGUACUUUCAAAUUAUUUCUGAAACUCUGGUGACACUCAAGGCGUACACUAACUGUAUUUCCGAAGUCUUAGUGUCAUCCAAAGGCGUUCUUUCGUAUUCGUAUUCGUUCUAUUCCUAAUUGUACUUUCGUAUUCGUUCUGUUCCUAGUUGUACUUUCGUAUUCGUUCCAUUCCUAGUUGUACUUUCGUAUUCGUUCUGUCCUAACUGUACUUUCGUAUUCGUUCUGUUACUAUCCGAGGACGUAUCUUAUUAGUACUAAUCCCAGUUUAUGAUUAGUAUGAUUACUUUGCAAAUUAUAAUAUGUAAUAUAGAUAAUAACACUUUAUAAAGAAAUCUACAUUUAGUCUGAAAGUUUACUCUGCAAUUCGAACCAUUGGUUAAUACGAUUUUCGAUAAUACAAGCAUACAGUUUAUGAAACAUUUGAGCUGAAAAUAAUAAGUUUAAGUACAAGAUUUCCUUGUACUCUUGUUUGUAUUCCCCCCUGAAAACAUUUGAAAAACACGGAAAAAUAGUAGGGGUAUGAACUCACCGGUCAAGGGACGUGUCGGUUCGGAUGCUAAACAUCAGUUCGGGGCUUGAACGCGUGCGAGGUUCCUAUGUAAUAUGAAAAGAUACACAUUUGUAUCUAAUUAGGCUUUGAACUACUAAUUAUUUGAGGAUAUACACUUCUAGUCGCGAAAACACUUCAUUUCAAGUGUUUGGAGUGACCCGGGUAGUAUCUAAAGAUGUGUAGGGCCUAGAUAAGGAGUUUACUCUUCAAGAGUAAACCCUUAGGGGAGUUUACGGCCCAUUGACCAUAUCCCCAUGAGUUUACGGCCGUAAACUCAUGGAUGGUGGGUUUGUGGAUGCCAAAUGGUCAUACAAUGCACACGGGAAGGUUCUAGGGUUGAUUCCAUGGCUUAGGAAGUGAUCGGGACUCGAAAUGACCUUGGAUAAGAGUUUACGGUCUAUGAAGAUGUUCUUGGGGAGUUUACUACCUUAAACACAUGAGUUUAUGGUCGUAAACUCAUGUUUUUAAGAUAGUAAACUCUCCAAGAACAUCUUCAUAAACCGUAAACUCAUGUUUGCCCAUAAAUCAUGUGUUUUGGUGGUUAUAAGUCAAUCACAUGUGAUUCUAGUCUAACAUACAAGACAUACAAGGUGUUAGGGGCACUUAAACACCUUUUGGAGGUGUUUAUGGUCUAAGAAGAUGGGUUUAUGGUCCAAGAAUGUUCUUGGGCCGUAAACUCAAGUUUGACCCAUUUACAUAUGAUUUGGUGCAUCACAUGAAGGAUUAUAAGGUUCUACACUCGUAUGGAAGCAUUUGGAGGUGUUUAGGGGCAUUUUGACACUUUAAAAGGAGUUUAUGGUCCAUGAAUGUGGUUUUACGGUCCAAGCAUGUUCUUGGGCCGUAAACUCAUGUCCAUACCUCAAAUGACAUGAUUUUGGGGUCCUAAGCUCAUGCAUGCAAGUUUCUAAGUCGAAUCUAAGCACUAGAAGUGGUUUGGAGGGGUUUUGGAGCUUCAAAACCCUCAUUAGGGGUGUUUACGGUUUUGGGAGGACUCUUAGACGAUAUACACAUGUUCUUGAUGUUUUGGGUGAUUCAAACACGAAUUUGUAUGUAAAUCAAGUUAAACUACAAGUUAGGAUAGAUUGCUUACCAAAUUGAAGCUUGGAAGGGGGGUUUUUGGGAUCAAACUCGAGUUCUAGAGAGAGUAGUGAGAGAAAGUGUUUAGAGAGAGAGAGAAAAAGCUUUGAAAUGAUGUCACUCAAUCCCUUGUAAACUCAUGUUUUCCCAUAAAUCAUGUGUUUUGGUGGUUAUAAGUCAAUCACAUGUGAUUCUAGUCCAACAUACAAGACAUACAAGGUGUUAGGGGCACUUAAACACCUUUUGGUGGUGUUUAUGGUCUAAGAAGAUGGGUUUACGGUCCAAGAAUGUUCUUGGGCCGUAAACUCAAGUUUGACCCAUUUACAUAUGAUUUGGUGCAUCACAUGAAGGAUUAUAAGGUUCUACACUCGCAUGGAAGCAUUUGGAGGUGUUUAGGGGUAUUUUGACACUUUAAAAGGAGUUUAUGGUCCAUGAAUGUGGGUUUAUGGUCCAAGCAUGUUCUUGGGCCGUAAACUCAUGUCCAUACCUCAAAUGACAUGAUUUUGGGGUCCUAAGCUCAUGCAUGCAAGUUUCUAAGUCGAAUCUAAGCACUAGAAGUGGUUUGGAGGGGUUUUGGAGCUUCAAAACCCUCAUUAGGGGUGUUUACGGUUUUGGGAGGAUUCUUAGACCAUAUAUACAUGUUCUUGAUGUUUUGGGUGAUUCAAACAUGAAUUUGUAUGUAAAUCAAGUUAAACUACAAGUUAGGAUAGAUUGUUUACCAAAUUGAAGCUUGGAAGGGGGGUUUUCGGGAUCAAACUCGAGUUCUAGAGAGAGAGUAGUGAGAGAAAGUGUUUAGAGAGAGAUAAAAAAAGCUUCAAAAUGAUGUCACUCAAUCCCUUAUAUAAGGGUUGAGCUUAUGGCCCGGUGGGAUUCUACUCGAUACUGACGUUACACGGAGCUUUUGGUCGUACCCGAUAAAUUUUGCCGUAACUCAACUUGGUCGGAACUAAAAUUUUUCUAAAUGAAUAUUUUAACAUUUUUCUAAUGUUUUCCGACACUAGAAGUCAAAAUAAAAUUAAAUUGAUCAAAAGAUAACGGAAAAUUUUUUAAAUAAAAAUAAUCCUUAUUAACGGAAACGGUUACGGCAACGGGUUAAACUUCGGGUUGUCACACAAGUUUUGAUACUUCGUCUUUAAAUGACUUGUAUAAUCUUCUGAAAACUCACAAAGGAGAGGUGAAUGAGAUGGCAGAAGAGUUGAAACUAAGUUUGGGAGGUCCUUUGGCACUUGUUUCGAAAGUUACUGACAAAGAGUCGACUAAAAAAGAGAAUUCAGAUGAAGAAGGAUUUCUUAUGAAUUCAGACGAUGAGGCGAUUGCUUUUUACUCAAACAAUCGAGUAAAGAAGUUUUACAAGAAACCGUUCAAUCCAAAGAUGAAACAAGGUGAUGCUAAAGGAAGUUGCGUUAAAAAGUCAGCUGGUGAGGAGAAGAAAAAGUUUGAGAAAAAUGAAGCAAAGACUAAUGAAUCCAAAGCUGAGAAGAAACUUAAAGGAGAUUCGGGAAUUGAUUUCCACAACUGACACGGAGCUAAUCAUAUGGCGAAUGAUUGUAUGCUUUGUAAGAAAGAUGAAAAGAAGAAUAAAGUGAAGGACGAAGCUUACUAGGUGGAACGUUUGGAAGAGGUUUGUGCUAAAGAUAAAGGAAUGUCUUUGGUUGUACAAGGUGAAGGAGAGGAUAAUGGAACUUAUCAAAUCUGGUCAUCUGGAUCAGAUGAUGAGGAAAUGUGUAAUCUUACGCAUGGUGCUAUGUUCGCGAAGUAUGAAGAUGAUGAAAAAUAUAUGGUGACAGGUCAAUGUUUCAUGACCAAAACAGGAGAUAAAUCACCAAUGACGACUACGGUACGUUCUAUUCUUCAAUCUUUUAAUAUUCCUUUACAAGCUUAUGAUUAUGAGGUAAUUGCUUUUAAUGAUAUUGUUGCUUUUUUCGAUACUAUUGUUGUCUCUGCUAGUAAUGAAGCUAAGAAACUUAGUACUCAGUUGCUAGAGACCCAAAAUUUGUUGGAUACAAAGAAAAGCAGAGUAGAGUAUUUGGAAAUGCAAUUGAAAAACCUUGGUUGUGAUAGGGAAAACUUAGAAUAUGAUGUAAUAUUGCUUUUAGCUAAGAGAAACAUGUACUGUAAUACAGCUAAAAGACUUUAUGCAAAGAUAACUACUUUACAUCAUUCUUCUGAGAUAAGCAAAGAACAACAUAGGAAAUUAUUACCUUUUUUUAUUUUCGAAAGGGAGAAGGUUGAUAGUUUAUCAUAUGAUUGUGAGGAAACAAUAAUUGUUUUUGAUAAAGUCGUUGACAAUAGAUUUCCAUAUGGUGUUGUUAAAAUAGAUGUAUGUGUUGAUCCAAAUGAACUUGUUGAUGUAAUGAAUGAAACUUUGACCAAAAUUGAACAAAUCAAAAUUUUGAAAAGAACUGAGAAUUCGAAAUUUGACUCUUAAUCAAAUUUUGCUGAUAUCGAAGAUAAUUCUAAUAGUUUUAGCGAAAUCAAUGAAAUUGAGGAAUAGGAAUGUAUCGAUUGUUCUCAGUUAUCUGUCAUUAAUGUCACAUCUAAGUCAAAAGGCAAAGAGAUAUGUAAUGAUUUGAUGGUUAAGGUUGACACUGACAUACCCUUUACUUUGAAAGCUUGUGAUUUCGAUCAUGUGAGUGUCAGAGAUAGUCAAACUGAUAGUAGUGAUGAUGAGAAAGAGGAUGAAGUUUCAAAAAAUUCAAUGUUCGAAACGGAAAUUUCGAAAGAAAGUGAAAUUCCAAGAGUUGUUGUUGAUCAAGUGUAUGGAGACACUGAAAAAUUCGACAAAGUGAUGAUUGAAAGAGGUGCUCAUUAUAUUGAGACAGAUACAAUUGUCUAUCCAAAUUUCAAGUGCACAGAUGAUGUUAUCUUCAACACAACUUGAUAAGUGUUUCUCAACUUGUUGUGGGCACUGGCAAUCAAGUGGUUUUAACGAAGAAAGCAGCAUAAUUUCGAAUGUGGAAACCAAAGAAGUUUUGUUAAAAUCCAAAAGACAUGGUGACAUGUUCACUCUCGACAUUAAACCAAUAGUUGGGAAACCUUCUGUAUGCUUACUAAGAAAGCUUCAUCAGAUGUUAGCUGGUUAUGGCAUAGAAGACUUUCUCACUUGAAUUUUCGAAAUCUAAACAAAUUGGUGGUAAAUGAUCAUGUUCAUGGUUUACCUAUAUUAAAGUUUAGCAAUGAUACAUUGUGUGCAGCUUGCGAACAAGGAAAACAACAUAGGCAAGGACAUCCAAUUGUCAUAGAUUCGAAAAUUGUUUAACCGUUGGAGCUUCUUCACAUUGACUUAUGUGGACCAUCAACUGUUGAAACACUCAACAAGAAAUGGUACAUUUUAGUUAUUGUUGAUGAUUUUUCAUGAUUCACUUUGGUUUAUUUUCUCAGAUUAAAAUAUGAGGUAGCUCAAACAAUGAUCGAUUUCAUCAAGAAAAUUGAGAAAAACUUAAGGAAGAAUGUUCGAAAGAUCAAAAGUGAUAAUGGAACCGAAUUUAAGAACAAUGUUUUUGACUCGUUCUUAACAGAUAAAGGAAUUUCGCAUAAUUUUUCUUCACCAUAUACAACGCAACCAAAUGGUGUGGUUGAAAGACGAAAUUGUUCACUUUGCGAAGCAGCAAGAACAAUGCUCACAUAUGUGAAUCUUCCUCAAUAUCUUUGGGUUGAAGCAGUUUCUACUGCAUGUUUUACUCAAAAUCGUUCAUUCAUUCAUCGGCGUUUAAAUAUUACUCCACAUGAAAUUAUCAAUAACCGAAAGCCUAAUGUCAAAUUCUUUCAUGUUUUUGGUUGCAAGUGUUUUAUAAUGAAUCUCAAGGAUAAUCUUUCGAAAUUUCAGUCAAAGGCUGAUGAAGGCAUAUUCUUGGGAUAUUCACAUAAUUCGGUUGCUUAUCGAGUGUUGAACAAAAGAGCGCGAAGAUUAGAAGAAACAUUUAAUCUCACAUUUGAUGAUUUUUAUGUUAAAAGAGUCGAAAAAUGAUUUGAACAAUAUCCAAUUAUUAAUGAAUCAAAUACUUAAUCUAUAAAUGAAAAUUCAACAGAUUUUGAUUAUGAUUUAAUCUUUGGUGUUCCUAACAAGGCAGUUGAUGCAAAAGUUAAUGCAAUAGAUAAUCACAUUCCUGAAGCAUCAAAACACACUGAUGAUUUGACUUUAACACACGAGAGUUCAGAUUUACUCUCAAUGUCGAAUUCUCCAAGAAUUAGCAAAAGUAUGCUGAAUGAUCAAGUGGAGGGGGAGCACUUGCAUUCGUCUUCUCAGAUUGAGGGGGAACAUUCUUUCGAGGGGGAGACAAGGAGAAUGGAUGUAAAUGUUGAGGGGGAGCAAAAUCAUGGCCAGGGGGAGCAAAUUGAUAUUAAUAUGUCAAAUGGGAGUCAAAAUGAAAUUUUUCAUGAUUCAACUGAUAAUAUUUCCAUUGCAGGAUCAAAAAAUGAAGAAAUGAAUGAAGAUGCACCAUUGGAUUUUGAUCCAGCAUAUCCACUGCUGGAAAAUGGACAAGAAAUCAUCCAAGAGAACAAGUCAUUGGGAAUCCACAAGAUGGAGUUUUGACUAGCGCUCAAAUUCGUGCAAAGAAUGAGGUACUCAAUGCUCAUCAAGAGUUUUGCAUGUUUAAUGUUUUUAUUUUGAAAAUAGAGCCAAAGAUAGUUAAGUUUGCAAUGGAACAUUCAGAUUGGGUUGUUGCUAUGCAAUCCGAAGUUGCUGAAUUUGAACGAAAUAAGGUUUGGAGAUUAAUUCCUAAACCUGAUGAAGUUUCGAUUGUCGGUUUAAAAUGGAUUUUCAAAAAUAAAACUGACAAAGAUGGUAAUAUUGUUCGAAAUAAAGCAAGCCUUGUAGUUAAAGGUUAUUCGCAACAAGAAGGUAUCGAUUAUGAAGAAACCUUUUCCCCUGUUGCAAGACAUGAGGUUGUUCGAAUAUUUUUAGUCUAUGCAACUCACAAGGAUUUCGAUGUGUUUCAAAUGGAUGUUAAAUGUGCGUAUCUCAACGGUGAACUUGAAGAAAUAGUUUACGUUAAACAACCUCCAGUUUCGUAAAUGAAGAAUUUCCUAAUCAUGUUUAUAUCUUAGAUAAAGCAGUGUAUGGGUUAAAACAAGCACCAAGAGCAUGGUAUGCAACUCUUACCAAUUUCUUAAAACAAUCGAAAUUUAAACAAGGAAAAUUAAAGAAUGUUCGAAUCCCACGACAUUUGUUUCCCAACAGGAUCCAGCUAACACUUGUUAUUUUUUUGGAAUAUGAUUUCUAUAUGAGUAUCAUUCGUUGUCUUUGUCAUGAAAAUAAUUUCCAAAGCAUACUGGUCACUAACUACACUGGUCAAACAAGUAAUUUCGAUUACAAUUAAUCACACUUAUGUUGAGUGCUAAAAUGUAACGAAAUUUUUUAAACCGCCCAUGUAGCCAUCCAAAAGAAGCCCUUCGAUACUUCUUUACAAGUAGUCAAUUGUAAUUCACGGGAAACCACACAAGUUGUUGAUUAUCUCUCUAGAUAAUUCACGAAGCAAUCUUUGCCCGGGAUUUAACUGCUUUUAUGUAAAAAAAAUUGACAUCGCAGAUCUAAAUUUUUUGUUAUUUUGCUUCUAAUCUCAUUUUGUUGGCACAUUGCACUCACGAAAUCCUAGAGGUUCUGAGUACUACCAACUCAGGCUGAAGAUUUCGCAAGUCUGGCAUAUGACUUCGUUUCUAAACCCGAAAACGAAAGAGCCUAACCCCCAUGCCGAAGGUUUUCGAUCUUAUCCACUUGAUACUCACGAACAGUUUGAUGUAACUGUUUGGCAACUUGGUCCGAUUUUCAAGGUACUUUAUUUGACACGACACUUAUAACGACUAGUGUUUGCAAGUUUCAAGGACAGACGUGGCUUACUCUUUAAUGAAACCGUUUGGAAUUCAAUUGGGGAUACAUAUAAAAGGAAGUUAUUUUCUUAUUUUAUAAUUGCACGUUCAAAUUCACAGACGAUCAAAAAGCCCUAAAAUUUCUCUGUUCUUCAAGAGUUUUUCCAAACCCUAAUCAAUGGCUACUGCUCAAACCAAAACUGUUGAAGAAGUUGCAUCUCAACCAAUCAUGAAGAUUCAAAGCACCAACUAUCAAGUUGAGGAUGAUGUUUCGUUGCACCCAGAAGAACUCAAGAUAUUGAUUGUAGCUCUUCAACAUUUAGGUCUUGCCACUGCUAUGUUCAAUGCUUUUGAUGUUCCAAUGUCUUGGUUGUCAAUGGUUGGUUCCACUGCUACCUACAAAAAAGCUCUUGAUGUUGUAACAUUCAAUCUGGUGAAUGAAAAGAGGUUCCAUCUUACAAAGCGGUUGUUUUCUCAAAUUCUGGAAAUUCCUAACUCAUCUUCAUUCUACAAGGUAUCCACUGAUCAAAUAAUUUUUAUGUUCAACGAGAUGGUUCAUCAGCCAACACUCACCAAGAUCAGUGACUUUAAGAAGCCAAGUCUUCCUUGUAUCUGGAAUUUCUUGUUUGGAAUCUAUCUUCGUUGCUUAACUGGACGAAGUGUAGGAUUAGACAAGGGAUGAUCGGAGGUGUACGCAAUGGCUGCUGGUCUAUAUUAUGAUCUUAAUGUAGAUUAUACUAUGCAACUGUGGAAGGAGUUUAUCAAGAGUGUGGAAAACACGAAUGUGGUACAGGGGAUUUCGUGUGCUCGAUACUAGAGUUUGAUACUUCAGUAUGCUUAUGAGAAGGAAGGUAUUCCAGUUCCCAUUGAUGAAGAUAAAGCAUAAUUUAUGAAGUAUCACUUUCCGAAGUCAGUGGAAGAUGAUUUGUAGAUUGUCCCAAAUGUUGCUAGGAUUCCAGAUGGUAUGCUUAAGAAGAUUGAUCCAUCUAACUCUGUCUUGGUAUCCUAUUUGAAGAAAGUAAACCCUUCCAUUGAAACUUGUGUAUUGUUACAAAGUAAUAAUGAAGGAUCAUCAAAGAAGCAUGAGAAGGUUAAGAAGGCUACUGAUGAAGUUAUUGUUCAUGAAAGUGCAAAGAAAGUUAAGUCUAAGUCUCCUAAGAAGGUUAUUGUUAAACAGGAGAAAGUUUCGAGGAAAAUUGAGAAACCUACGAAGAAGGUGAUUACUGAAUCUUCAAAGGAGUUAAUCCCUUCGAAAUCAGGGGUUUUUAAGUGUCUAAGAAAGAUGUCUCACAAAUCACGAAACUCUUCUGAUGAUCUAUCACCAACUGUUCAAAAGACACAGAUAAACAGUAGAGGGGUAAUUGUUUGUGAUAUACCCGCUCCAGUAUCACCAUCCUCGAAGAAAAGAAGAGUUGAGGGUGCGGCAAAGCAUAUUGUCGAAAAAAGAAAGAAAAGAAAGUUGGUUGUUCGUGAAGAAUCCUCUGAUAGUGAAAUUGUCCCAGAAACACUAUUGAGAUUGACUACCUUAAUUUCACCAACAAAAAUAACAAGUCCACUCGAAAUUGUUCUUACCAAAUCAGUUACUGAGGAGGUUCCAAUUUCUAACAUUGUUACAAACGUAUCUGAUACGGGUGCACUUGUUAAUAUGAGUGUUGAAGCAUCACAAUCACUGGUUACUCAAGGUAUUCCCAAUCCAUCUCUUUUUGCACCUAUUUCAACUGUCGAUGUUUCACUUCCACCUUUUGUUACUCAAGCUCAAACAGUCACCACCUCACCUACAUUCGACCAGAUUCUACAACAACCAAUUACCACUCUUUUUCAAUCUCAAUCCACCAAUCCACCAAAACCCAAUUCCGAUGAUGAAACAGAUGGAGGAGGUUCUAGAGGAACGUUCGAUGAUUUACCAUUUGAUUCAGAAGUAGAAGAUAUACCAGAUCACAUGAUGAUGUCCGGUAAGCAAUUUAAAAUUCUGAACAUAAAACUUAACUCUAUUCUACAAUCACAAGCUGAUUCUGGAGCAAAGAACUCAGUUUCGGGAAUAGAAGUUGAUGUUCUGUUGAAGGCAGUGGAGCUCAGGCUGUAGAGACAAUUGGAUAUUGUUGAUAAAAAUAACGAGUUGAGGGUCAAGGCUCAGGCUGAUUCGUUUAACUUUGAAAUCAAAGAUCUUCGUAUGGUAGCAAAAGAACGUCACGUUCUUUUUGUUAAAGAUGUCAAGACCGUAUGAGAAGAUGUCAACCGAAAACUUGAAGAGAUGAAGGUUGAAGUCUCAAAAGAGAUAAAUGAGCUGAACUCCAACUAUUCGAUAAUCAAGUCGAAUGUUGAAACAAUAGCGGCUGCAGUCACAAAGGUUGUUGAAUGGUAUCAAUCGUUAACUCCUAAGUUUGAAGCGAAGGCUAAUGAAGAUGUUCAAAAUUUCGACAAGAUGGGAGUUUUACUUGGUGAGCUGAAAGAAUUGGUGUCCAAACCUGCUCCAACUUUGUUCUUAACUCCUGAGUAUUUAACUCAGCAGUCACACGUUCUGGAUCAAGCUAUUCAGAAGGUUGUUGCUCCGAUUUCGAAUUUUGCUAAUAUGUUACCUACUGGUGCCCAACCUGCUGUCACAGGGGUGCAAGGGGGAGAGAAAGUGAAGAAAGUUCAAGUGGGUAAAACUUUGAAAGUUUCUAAAAGAGGAAAAGAUAAGUCUAAAACUAUCGAAAAGGUGGUGCCUACUCAAGUUUCGACAAAGGUAGUGUCGACUCAAAUUUCAACUCCAAUAGUUCCAAAAGUAAAUAAAACACAAGCCAUCAAAACCACAACAAGACCUAUAUUAAAAGGAAUUGUGAUUGGUUCAACAACUGAAGGAGGGAGUUCAAGUUCUUCAAAGCCAAAGACUUCAGAAGCUGAAAAAGAUAAAGGGAAACAAAUUUUGGUUGAAAAAUCAAAGGAAGAGAAAAAGGAUGAGAUAGAUGAUGAAAUGGAGAAACAGAGGCAAAUUCAAAGUAUAAUGAGGCUUCGUGAUAAUGAUCCACCACACAUGGAUAAGGGAGAUCCUAGGAAGUUGCACAGUUACGAAAACAUCGAAGCCAGAGUGUCAUACAAUAAUAUGUAUGCAUUUGAGAAGAAACCAUGAAAGAGUUAUUCUAUCAAAAAUUCCGAUAUGAAUCAACUUGAUUUUCCAGUUUACGAAAUGAUGUUCAUAACAACACAGUAUAAGGUGAUAGAGAAGUUCAAAAAUGAAGAUGACUUUCUUCAUAUGAAACUUAGGUUUCAUGUUGUUGUUGGAAAGGAACCAGAUGAAGUUUGGUCACUUAUCAAGAUCACAAGGGUGUUAAGUAUUACAAAAGAUGUGAUGUUUGAGAACAUGAUACAGAACUUUCGUUAUCAUGUUGUUAGAGCAAACAACGUUUCUUGUGAUUUCUCAAUUGCUGAUUUCCCACUAAUGAACUUGAAUGAUUUUAUUCAAGUUGCCCGUAUUUUGAAAGACAUGGAUGCUUCGCAACUUCAAGGAACUGAUAAAGAAGUUUUGAGACUAGUUCUUGGUCACAUCAAAAUCUUUAUAGACAAUUACUAUGAUUUUCUAUCUUUGACUGAUGUCAAAUUAUCAGCUGCAACUUGGGAAUGAAGUGAAAGUGGCUAUGGAAGCGACGAAGACUCAAGCUGAACUGAAGAAAUAUUCUGAUAGGUAGAUAUGCUUAAAGCCAUUUGGAUUGGUAUUUAUGGGAAAAUACAAGAAUGGGAAUGCUAAAAGAUUUUUGUUUCAAGCAAUUGAAGUGGAGAGGUAUACUACAGCUCAAUAUACGAACUUCAUGGUUCGUAUGAAUAACUGCAAAAAGAAUAAUGAUGUUGAUAAAGCAGAGUUAAAGAAGGUUAUGAGUUGGUAUACGGAGAUUCGUAGGAUGAUGCAUUUUAUUGCACAGAUUCUCUCCAAUUGAGAAGUUCGACAUUAUUACAAAGGGGGAGAUUGUAAGGUCGAAAAUGUAUUGUAAUAUGUAGAAUUCUGUGUAAUGCUUGUUUCGUUAAUUUUGUUAUGUAUUUACUAAGGCAUCUUUGUAACGAAGACGAAUUUUCAGUCCUUAGUAUUUUUUGUACUUUCAGUCCUCCUAUAAAUAGGAGUGUUUACUUAGAGUUAGACAUGAGUUUUUCCAUGUCCUAUGUCUGAUAUUCUCUUUGUAAAACUUUGAAAGUAAUAUGAGCUAAACCAGAUUCUAUUUAGAUCUCGUGUUCUUUACUUGCUUACUCUUAUUUUAAUUCCAAUACUCGAUUAUUCACUUCUACAUGGUUGGUUCUAGUUAUCCCCGGGUGACCACCACUUCUGAUUGGGCACCACAAUUAUGGGGUACCAGUCUGACCGUGGCGUAGGCGUUGAAGAAUAUUUGCAUCAUCGGUGAGGAUGAGGAGGAUUACAUCCUAGUAGCAGCCAAAAUGAGCACCGUCUAACAGUCCCCAUGGAGGAUGCCUCAAUUCUACAUAGAGAAGGACGGUAAGUGCUCUUCUCCCCUACCCCUUUUACUUUGUUGGUAAUCAAAAAGGGGUUGAUGAGUCAUUUGUUGUUUAUAUUCGCAGGUAUCGAAAGGAUGUUGUCCUUUGAGAUGGUUAUCUGGGGUAAGUACAAGGGUGAUCUCCAGUACCAUGUGGUACCCUUGAUGGAGAUCCUUCCUCCACCUGUUAGCGCCGAUUAGGCAUUGGCGCUUGUCGCUCCUUAUACUGUCAAAGGAAAGGGUACCGCCAGUCAGGUUGACCCUGGCUUGGUGGAUGCACCAAUUCGUGGUGUUUCUUAUAAUGAUCCUCUGGUUCAGUCCUGUAAGGAUGAAGUAGCAAAGGAGGCAUUGAUUUGAGGCAACCAUGUAUCCACCAAGCGGUAGAUAACCUGGAUGGACUCCCCUAUUAGAGAGGACAAUGACCCCAAUACCAUUGGAAAACGUCUUGGCAAGAUGCACAACAUUNNNNNNNNNNNNNNNGGGGGGGGGGGGUUCCAGCUCAGUAAUCGACAUCCCUGAUGAUGAAAUUUCUCACUAAUCGUAGGGGAUAGACACAGAGGCAGCAUAACCGACACAUGAACCAAAGAAAGAAUAUAAGGAUCCCAGCAGUCGUAGCGGUGGCGAGUAUGUGAAGAAUCCAGAGGUUAACCUCCAAACUUCUCCUAGUUCUACCUCAUCUCUGAUGAGAUACAUCACUAUUUAUGGCGCUCUCCCUAUGCUACUGGUGGCUUCGGGCAUUUAUCUCCCGGAUUAGACUCUCACUCUUGGUUCCCUACUCACCCAACAUGUCGUUGCAUAUGAGUGGAGUCGCCAUGCAUUCCCUUCGACUACAAUAGAAGCCCUAAAGUCCUCUCCAACUCCCAUAUGGCGAAAAACCUUUAGUAUGCAGCGGACCAGGUUGCCCCUACUUGGUGGCUGCAGCUAGGCGCCUUCAUCAUGUGAUCUCGGAUUUGGCGGAAUUGACUAGCAUCAAAGCUUAGUGUGACGAAUUAAAGGAGAAGGUGUUGGUCUUGGAGGAGGAGAAACAUAAAUUUGAAGAGUGCUAUGAGUUUUUUUUCGGGGAGAAGGCUUCGAUGGAGGAACAAGUGACAAGCUUAGACGGAGAGGUGGAGUUCCUAUCUCGACAAGUAGAAACCUUGGAGGCGGAGAAGGAAAUGUUGGAGGGUCAAGUGAAGCAGCAUGGCAAUAAGCUGGUGACUGAGGGAUCGAGGAGGAAGAUUUUGGAGGAGGACAUCGCUUGGCAUCUCCAAAAGGGCGUUGUGUGUGUGGUGGAUCAGGUUAUCGAGAGCCCGGAGUUCUCGUUGGUGGUUCGAUAGAUGAAGACAACAUGUAUGAAAACUAGUGUCACUACAAAAAAUAUGUCAUUUAGUGGCACACAAAAAGUGACAAUAUAAGCCCAAAAAAAUGACACUGAAGGUUCUCAAAGAAUCAGCGGCAUACUUAAUAAAUGUCACUAGAAACGCUCCCACUAAAACCUUUUAGUGGCACUUUUGGUUUUUGUUGCUGCGGUUUUUAGGCUUUCAGUGGCACUUUUUUAUUUGUCACAGUAAAACAAAUUUCUUUUGUGGCACAUAUUUUGUGCCACUAAAUCUGAUUUGAUUUAAUAAUUUAUGUUACUUUUAGUUACACAUUUUAAGAUUUUAGUGACACUUUUUUUUACCAUAAUAAAAAUUAGUGGUAUUUUUUAUGUGUCACAGUAGAAGAAAUUUUUUUAUGGCAUAUAUUGUGUGCCAUUAAAAGCUCAUGUGAUUUAAAAAAUUUAUGCUACUUUUAGUUACAUAUUUUAAGAUUUUAGUGACAAUUUUAUUUGCCACAAUACAAUUUCAUCUAUAAUAUAAAAUAAAAUGAAUAAUUAAAUUGUAGCGCAUUGAAAAUAAUCAAAAUUUCAUUGUUUUUCAUCAAUAUUUGUAACUUUUUGAAUCGAAUAUCUAGGUAAAUAUCAAAUAUGUCUAAGUACAUGCUAAACAUAAAGUGAUGAACAAAAGUUAAAACAUGCAUACAAAAAUAAAAUAAAAUAAAAUAAAAAACAAAUACUUGAUAGGUUAAAUAAAUUGUGUUAUCUCAUACUCUAGAAUCAAUGCUAGCAAUUCCCUAUCAAAAAUCAAACAAAGAUAAUCCAGAAUCCAGUGAAAUAAGGCUUAGUUUAGAAAAUAAAUAAUAUAACACUCAACACAAAUAAACUAUAUUUAUAAGAAAAAAGGAAAGACAAAAGCUCAUAAAAAUGAUUACCAUCAUUAUGAAGACUUUCAGAAGAUGCUCUCUGGUUAACUGAAUUAGAGUUGCGUGGAACUGUAGAAAUGUUGCCUGGCAUCUGAAACAAAUUAAUGAAAACAUAUAACAUUAAGGCCCAACUCUCGAUACCUUCUACUAGUCUUGUACAAAUGAACAACAAGAAUGCGUUUAAGAAGAUGCACAUGUACACCAAGAAGCUUAUUCAGAAGGGGAAAAGUGGUCAUUCUUGAGUCCAAUUGGAAAUAUGAUAAUGGACUAAUUUUAAUGAAUGUUUUUUUGUUCAUAGGGUAAUUGAACCCCAUUUAUAAAAGUUUCACUACAUCUUGGUGCACAAUACAUCCAAGAUCUAUCCAUAACUGCUCCAAUAAAAAUAAACAAGUUACAUAGUUACAACAUGUACAAGUUUGAAGCCUAAUCAACUCUUAAUGGAAUCAUAUAAACACAGGAGGAAGCUAAGAAACUAAAAAACUCAUGAAUGUUGGAACACAUAAAGAAACCUAGACUAGAGCUAGUUGCAACAUGUGCAAGUUUAAAGCCUAGUCAACUCUUAGUCAUAAAAAAAUAAGCCUGGUCAACACGUAAACAACCUCGCUUAAGAGGUUAACCAACUACUGUAGUACAAUACAACUCACUUAAGAAACUAUAUCAUCAAUGAAAAUUAAUAUUCAUUUAAGAAAUAUAAACAUAUAUUAGAAAAAUAACAAACUACAUGAGUGGUUUCCAUACAUGAUAUGACAAAAACAAUAACUAUUACAAAAAAUGAAACUAUAUGUCAUUUUAUUUGUAGUAGUGAAACUAUAUGUCAUUUUAAUUGCAACAUAUAAAUACCUUUUUCAUCAUUUUACUAAUUUAGGCUGUUCUAUUUUACAGGUUCAAAGUUCCUAAAAUGUUUAUAACAUGGAACAAGAAAUUCGCAAUGACAAGUGGGAAAUUGAGAAGAGAUGAACACAAGUUUUGCUUCACUUAAACUUACUCUCAAGCAGACUAUAAGAUAGUUUGUUCAUAUUCACAACAUUUGUUUGUUUUAUAUAAAAAAAAUAAUAAAAAAAUAAAAGUUGAUAUGAAAUCAUUUUUGUGCAUUAGCUACUUAAGGGCUGAUUAAGUGAUGGUCUAACUGAAUAAGACAGAUUGUUCAUAUCUGUUUAUUUUGUUUCUUUAUCCUUAUAUUCAGUUGACUUAUCCUUCUAUCAUCAGGAUUUUUCCUCCAGUCAUUCAAUUUGCCUUUUGUGGAAGAUUAUUUUACUUUAGUUUAGGUUUCUUCUUAGUAAUUAGGAAGCUGAUAUAUUAUUUGAAUUGACUGAAUUAAGUUUUCUGUCUAGGUUGUCUAUACUGUGUCAAUAUUUUAUUAGUCUCAUCAGCAUGGUGAUUCGGAAAAAAGUAAAUACAUUAUUAUUUUUUUGGAAUGGCUGAAAAUUUUAUAAGCAUACCAGCGAGGCUUUAUUAAAUUGUUUACCGAUUGAAUUACACAAAUUAGAUAAUGACAUUCUUGUUGGCCACAAAUUAGUCUCAUCUGGAUUUGACCUUCAUGUUCUUCUCAACAGAGUCAAGAUUUUUACAAUAUUAACAAACACAUUGAUUUAAUGAACUUAAUGAGAACAUUUGUAUUUGUAUUACCAUUUAUAAAUAAUAAUGAUCGUAUAACAUUUUGCAGGCUUGCAAAGUUCCUAACAACAUGUGGUCAAAAAUAGUAAGACUUAAGAGGUUUGAGAUACCUAGACUUAAUAAAGGAAAUACAGUUUUUGGGUCAGGGGUAAGUCCAGGAAUUAUGUCUUGCAUUGUUGGCAGGCUUUUAUGUGAUACUUUUUUGUGUACUUGUGAUCUUUUAAAAGAGGUAAUAUUAAUCUUAAUAUUAAUAUAGUAUAAUUAUAAAUUAGUCUUUAUAUUUAAUUUCUAACAUUUUUUUUGGGUUUCAGGUUAGUUAUUCAUUGACAGAACUUGCAAAGACUCAGUUGAGUAAGAAUCAAAAAGAGAUUGCUCCACAUGAUAUUCCUGGAAUGUUUCAAAGUUCUCAAUCCUUAAUGGAACUCGUAUGUUCUACUUUUCAUUUCUCAACUUUGUAAAUUUUUAUUUGUUUUUUUUUUUAUUUUCAUGAUAUUGUUAAAACUGCGAUUUGCAGAUUGAAAUUGGGGAGACAGAUGCAUGGUUGCCAAUGGAACUCAUGUUCCAUUUGAGUGUUCUUCCUCUCACACGACAACCGAUUAAUAUUAAUGAUAAUCUAUGGGGAAAAACUCUUCAGGUAAACUAACGAAACAGUUAAAAAAUCAUUCACUAAUGUGUUUUUUUAGUUUUUUUUUAAUGAAUAACUUAUUAUGUGCAUGAUUUCAGGGUGCUAGAGCUCAAAGAGUGGAAUAUCUCUUGUCGCAUGCAUUCCAUGCUAAAAAAUUUAUGGUACCUGAUAAGUUUUAUACUCCAAUAGAAAACAAAACAGUAAAACAUAAAUCAGAUGGCCCAGAAGACAAAGUAAACAAUGAUUUGGGUGAAAAUGACGAAAUCGCCCCUCCAGGAAAUGAGCCUGUAAAAUCCAAAAAAGCAGCUUCAUAUGCAGGUGGACUAGUGUUGGAACCCAAAAAGGUUUAUAUGAUAAAUAUAUUUUACUUUUGGAUUUUAACAGUCUCUACCCUUCCAUUAUCCAGGUUUGUCAUGUCUCCACCAUACUUUUUAAAUUUCAACACUUUCUACCAUUCUCUAUUAUCUUUUUCUAUCUUUAAUCAGGAGUACCAUAUCUGCUUUACAACAGUAGAGAGAUUUGAAGAUGGUUUAGUUCCUCGAUUACCAUAUUCAAAAACAACUGGAACUUGAGGAAGAGAGGGAGAGGCUGAUGAAAGCUCUUGAAGAGCAGAGGACUAAAAUGAAAGGUAGCCACUGGAAAGAGGAGAUUAAGCUGGAGAAAGGGUUUGAUGAUGUGCUGACUCAAUUGAUGGACAAAUACACCAAUAAACUUGAAUUAUUUGAGCACAAACUUUACUCAUUCUUGCAGUUAGUUGAAGUUUAACUUUGACCGAUUCUAAAGAAGUCAAUUGACGUUGGGAUAUUAGCAGAGGUUAUGAGAUAUGUUUUUCUGGAGUACAUGGAUUAUAGUUUAUAUAUUUUAUGACGUGAGAAAGUCAAAAUGAAAUCACCAGUUCUAAUAAUCGAAAAAUAUUGGAGUUUUAAAGGUACUAGUGGCAGCCUCUCAUAAAAUUGAUUAACCCUAGCAGUUUGGGCAAUGAUUUUGCAACAAAUCGGGCAGUAUACAACUUCAAAUCUACAAACAAAUGAAAUUUUUAAAUACGUUAUUUGAGCAGGAAAAAUACAUAACCGUAAGAUUGAGGAUGCAGCGGCGACGAUCGAGGAAGCGGCGGCGAUCGUAAAAGCAACGGUGAUCAAAAAGAAACGACGCACAAGCCGACGACGGCAUGAUGGUCCGACGUCGACGAAGAGAGGGUGGUGAUGGUGCGUUCAGAUCAUCGUCAGGAGUGAGAUAGUGGGAGUGGUUUCUGAUAGGGUUGUACGUAUUUUUUUGACUUCCGU
rnacentral:lncRNA from 1 species